GUAGAUGAACGCUGGCGGCAGGCCUAACACAUGCAAGUCGAACGGUAACAGGAAGCAGCUUGCUGCUUCGCUGACGAGUGGCGGACGGGUGAGUAAUGUCUGGGAAACUGCCUGAUGGAGGGGGAUAACUACUGGAAACGGUAGCUAAUACCGCAUAACGUCGCAAGACCAAAGAGGGGGACCUUCGGGCCUCUUGCCAUCGGAUGUGCCCAGAUGGGAUUAGCUUGUUGGUGGGGUAACGGCUCACCAAGGCGACGAUCCCUAGCUGGUCUGAGAGGAUGACCAGCCACACUGGAACUGAGACACGGUCCAGACUCCUACGGGAGGCAGCAGUGGGGAAUAUUGCACAAUGGGCGCAAGCCUGAUGCAGCCAUGCCGCGUGUAUGAAGAAGGCCUUCGGGUUGUAAAGUACUUUCAGCGGGGAGGAAGGGAGUAAAGUUAAUACCUUUGCUCAUUGACGUUACCCGCAGAAGAAGCACCGGCUAACUCCGUGCCAGCAGCCGCGGUAAUACGGAGGGUGCAAGCGUUAAUCGGAAUUACUGGGCGUAAAGCGCACGCAGGCGGUUUGUUAAGUCAGAUGUGAAAUCCCCGGGCUCAACCUGGGAACUGCAUCUGAUACUGGCAAGCUUGAGUCUCGUAGAGGGGGGUAGAAUUCCAGGUGUAGCGGUGAAAUGCGUAGAGAUCUGGAGGAAUACCGGUGGCGAAGGCGGCCCCCUGGACGAAGACUGACGCUCAGGUGCGAAAGCGUG
rnacentral:rRNA from 1 species